GUCUAUGGCAAUACCACCCUGAUCACACCUUGUCUUGUGUAAUCUCAGAAGCUAAGCAGGGUUGGGCCUGGUUAGUACUUGAAUGGCAGCCCACUGAUUGUUCAGGAGAAUGUUAUUC
rfam:Fukomys damarensis contig87890, whole genome shotgun sequence.